UACGAAGGGGGCUAGCGUUGCUCGGAAUCACUGGGCGUAAAGGGUGCGUAGGCGGGUUUUUAAGUCAGGGGUGAAAUCCUGGAGCUCAACUCCAGAACUGCCUUUGAUACUGAAGAUCUUGAGUUCGGGAGAGGUGAGUGGAACUGCGAGUGUAGAGGUGAAAUUCGUAGAUAUUCGCAAGAACACCAGUGGCGAAGGCGGCUCACUGGCCCGAUACUGACGCUGACGCACGAAAGCGUGGGGAGCAAACAGG
rnacentral:rRNA from 1 species